rnacentral:rRNA from 1 species
CGCCUUGCCAGCCCGCUCAGAACUUAAAUGAAUUGACGGGGGCCCGCACAAGCGGAGGAACAUGUGGUUUAAUUCGAUGAUACGCGAGGAACCUUACCUGGGCUAGAACGCAAUCGGAAUCAGGCCGAAAGGUCUGCGCCAGCGAUGGCCGGUUGCGAGGUGCUGCAUGGUUGUCGUCAGCUCGUGCCGUGAGGUGUCGGGUUAAGUCCCAUAACGAGCGCAACCCCUACUGCUAGUUGCCAGCGGGUCAUGCCGGGGACUCUAGCGGAACUGCCAGCGUAAGCUGCGAGGAAGGUGGGGAUGACGUCAAAUCAGCACGGCCCUUACGUCCAGGGCUACACACGUGUUACAAUGGCCAGUACAGAGGGCAGCCACCCCGUGAGGGGGCGCUAAUCCUAAAAGCUGGUCCCAGUUCGGAUCGGAGUCUGCAACCCGACUCCGUGAAGCUGGAUUCGCUAGUAAUCGCGCAUCAGCCACGGCGCGGUGAAUACGUUCCCGGGCCUU